rnacentral:misc_RNA from 1 species
AACGCACCUUGCACCCUUUGGUAUUCCGAAGGGUACGCCCGUUUGAGAGUCAUUGUAAUCUCACCCCGGAAAUUUGUUUUUCUCGGGAGUGGACUUGGACGUUGCCGUGUCACUGUCACGGCUCGUCUCGAACGUCUCAGUGUGACCGGUUUGUCGCGUCUACAGUGUGAUAGGUAUCUUCACUGUGUAGUCUCUUCGGAGGCGCGCCUCGGACCCCAGUCGACGCUGCCAACCGUCUUUGGACAAUCUCUGACAAUUUGACCUCAAAUCGGGUGGGACUACCCGCUGAACUUAA